AAAGGUAGCGUAAUCAUUAGUUUUUUAAUUGAAAGCUUGUAUGAAUGGUCGGACGAGGUAUACACUGUCUUUAUAUAAUUUAUUGUAGAAUUUAACUUUUAAGUAAAAAGGCUUAAAUUAAACUAAUAGACGAGAAGACCCUAUAGAUCUUUAUAAGUUAAUUGUUAAUUAUGUAAGGAGUAUUUAUUAAUUAAUAAUGAAAUUUAUUUUAUUGGGGUAAUAUAAAGAUUAAAAGAAUUCUUUGAAAUAUAAACAAAAAUGAUUGACUAAUUGAUCCAUUAAUAUUGAUUAUAAGAUUAAGUUACCUUAGGGAUAACAGCGUAAUUUUUUUAGAGAGUUCAUAUCAAUAAAAAAGU
rnacentral:rRNA from 1 species